AGCUUUACUUGAUCUCUUCAUCUUCUCUGAAAGUUGAGUAGCUGUAUAGAAAACCCGAAGAUGAAGGCAAAGAGUAGAGGGAAUGCAACAAUCACAACAGCAACCAUACCCAAGAAGCUAUGCCUAAAUCCAAAAUAGUUACUUACGAAUUCGGAAACAACCUCGCCAUCCUCGAGUUUAUCGUGAGUAUCUCCAAAUUGUGAAGCAAUCAAUCCAUACAAAGUCCACGCAACAUGGUUAAUCCAGUAGUACCAUCUCCACCAUACAUGAAUUCUCUGCAAAUACUAGUGUUAGAUCAUUAUACCUUGUAUUGGAGUUAGAAAGAGUAAAAUGGAUAGAGUGAGAACUUAUAGUUCUUGGGAUGAGAAAUCCAGAGAAAAGGUUCGAUAUUGAAUAAACUACAGAGGAAACUAUGGAUGCUAUGUUUUGAUUUGGCGUCAAACCUACGACCAUCAUUCCAUAAAAGGUGAAAUAUAAUAACGUGAAGUAUAUGAAGAACAUGUACCAAAAGAACUUUGCAGUUGUCCAUUCAAAUCCAAUCAUGACAUAUACUAUGACACCAUAUAUUAGUGACUGAAGCAAGACAUGGAAGCACAAUGGCGACCUGCAAAAUCAACAGAUCAACGUGACUAAAGAAAUUGAUAGUCUAUGAAAUAGUAAAGUUUUAGAAUUAUCUGAAAAUUCUCAUAAAGGGGAUUGGUUUUGUUAAAUGUAGUAAUAUAUAUUCUCUUGAUAUUUUGCCUUUUACAUUGGGUAGCAUAUCAUCAUGUAUUACGCAGUACAUUCUCUCUUUAUUUUCUCCUUUGUUGAAGAUUUGUGGGACUGAUAUCUAAGUAACACUUUUUUUUAAUCUUUACCGGGACAUUCCAUAUUAAUUACCCAAUUUGUUUAGAUAUAUGGAAGCGUGCUCUUAUGAAAUAUCUAGUCUUUUUCUAUUCCUAACAUGGGUUAUGUGAGAAAUACCUGUCCAAAUGCAUAUGGCAAAGCUGAAUACAUUCCCGCCACUCUUUCUCUGUAAAAGACAUUUCUUUCAAUGGAAACUACUGGUUGUACAGAUGAUGCAUUUAUUGACAUCCGAUCAGUAGACUUCAUAUGAGUUCUCAGUUGAAGUCUACUGAUUUGAAAAUGAGACCUGCUUGCACUUGGAUAAAUAUGAGUUCUCAGUUGAACUCAUAAAUUUAUUGACAUCUCCCCACGUUUCGUUAAAUGCAUAUGCAUUUGAGAGGAGAACAUAAGCUGAAUCAUCUGAAGGGGCCAGCUCAAGAAGACAAUGAGCAGUUCUCUUUCGGAUAUCAAAAUUCCUCUCCCCGCCCAUGGUAAGCUUUUGAGGAAAUCAUAGCAUUCCAAGAAACAAUAGUUUUGUUGUCUAAUCCAUCAAAUAUAAACCCACUUGAAUCGAAAUUGCCACACUACGCAUACCAAGAACUACGCAUACCAAGAAAUCAGGGAGCUCUUUACAAACUAAUCUGAAUCAAAUCCCAUAGUGAUAAUGUGAAAAUGGAGUGGAAUUCCGUACUUCAUAAGAUCCUUUAGAGCUGAGCAAAUACCAAGAACAUUCACCAUGGUAAUGUAAUUUGCAUUUAUUCCAGCUUCUCUCCUCAAGACAAAUGCCUGCAUUGCUUCUAGAUGCUCUUCAUUUUCAACAUGCCCUCCUAUAAGCAAGUCCCAUGAGAUCAAAUCACGCCUUGGGAUCACUCGAAAUACACAUUUGGCUUCACUCAUGGCAUUGCAUUCGCUAUACAUGGUUAUUAAAGAAUUACCAAGACGUAAGUUACCAAGGAGGUGGUUGUUGAUGAUAAAAGGCAUGGACUGCUUUGCCACCUAAUAGGGCUUCAGGAUUAGAACGUGCGCUCAAUGCAUUUGCAGAUGUCACAUAAUUUGGUUCUUUCUUUGAUCAAAUCAACUGAAAAGAGAGCUUCAAAGCAUCAGUGUCAUUUCCACUCCGAAUAUAGGAUGACAUCAUGAUUGAAACAAAUGAACCAAGACCACUACUGAUGGCAAGAGCACGUAACCCCUUCCCCAUUUCAAAUGAUUCACAUUGCUGCACGCACGUAUCAGACGGCAUAGCAUAGUAUAAUCUUUAAAAUUUCGCAUUCUAGCAAUACACUGCAACGAUUCUUUGCACGUUCUCGUGAGAGUAAACCGUUACCAUUGAAUCCCAUGAUGUUGUAGCUUUUAGUCUAAUUUGAUAUAAUAAACGCUCAGCAACUAAUCGCUAUCGCAAAAGAAUUCUGAUUGAAAGCAAACCCCUCUUCUCUCAUCUCCCGAUGAGCCCUUACUGCUUCUUCUGGAAGCCCGUUCGACGAGCAACCCACCUUCAAAUCUGUCCAAGAAGCAACAUUCCUCUCGGCAUCUCCCCAAAGAAUCUCUGAGCAUUAUCAAUUACCCCACGUUCACCUUACGAACGCAAUAACGCAGUUCCAACACGACAUUACUCGUCAACCCAAGUUUCAAAACCAACCCGUGAACUUCGAUACCGUGCCCUACCGCUGAGACCCACUUGUUACACGCAGUCACUAUGUUAGCGAGUAUGAACCCGUGAGGUUCGAAACCUUGUUCUCUCGCCUUUCUAAACAAUUUCAUUCCUUUGAUCAUCAAACCAGCUUUAAUACCCCAAGAAAUGGCAGUGUUAUAAGUAGCAGCAUUUCUUUUAGGCAUUUCAUCGAACAUGUUGAGGGCAGCUCAUGGGUUGAGAGAAUGGCGGAUUGAGAGGGAGUGGAUUGCUUUGGUGGUGAUUGGGUUGGAGAUCUCUGAGAAACCCUUUUGAGAGAAGCGAGAGAUUUCGGAGGUUGGGUGGUCGGCGAGGAUGUGGAGGGCAUUGGAGUUGGGUUCUGAGGUGCAUGACGAGAGAGGGGGGAGGGUUUGAAUAGCCCCUCAAAUCUUUCAUAUUUGCAAUCAGUCCCCAAAGUUUUCCUAUCAAUACUAUACUAAUAAAAUAAAAAUCUUGUUGCCUGUUUUUACCACUUGGCAAAUUCUACGAACUUUACUAUUUAAUAAGUAAAAUAAUUCAUUUUUGCACCA